GUAGGGGAGCAAACGUUGUCCGGAUUUAUUGGGCGUAAAGGGCUCGUAGGCGGGUUCAACAAGUCGGUCGUGAAAACCCGGGGGGCUCAACCCCGGGGACGCCGGUCGAAACUGUUGUGACUAGAGUUCGGUAGAGGUGAGUGGAAUUCUCGGUGUAGCGGUGGAAUGCGCAGAUAUCGAGAGGAACACCAUUAGCGAAGGCGGCUCACUGGGCCGAUACUGACGCUGAGGAGCGAAAGCGUGGGGAGCAAACAGGGUUAGAUACCCUGGUAGUCCACGCCGUAAACGAUGAACACUAGGUGUGGCGGACUGAUUCAUGUCGGCUGCGCCGUAGCUAACGCAUUAAGUGUUCCGCCUGGGGAGUACGGCCGCAAGGCUA
rnacentral:rRNA from 1 species